rnacentral:rRNA from 1 species
GGGGACCUGCGGAAGGAUCAUAAGGCAGGGCCCUCUGGGUCCAACCUCCCACCCGUGUCUAUCGUACCUUGUUGCUUCGGCGGGCCCGCCGUUUCGACGGCCGCCGGGGAGGCCUUGCGCCCCCGGGCCCGCGCCCGCCGAAGACCCCAACAUGAACGCUGUUCUGAAAGUAUGCAGUCUGAGUUGAUUAUCGUAAUCAGUUAAAACUUUCAACAACGGAUCUCUUGGUUCCGGCAUCGAUGAAGAACGCAGCGAAAUGCGAUAAGUAAUGUGAAUUGCAGAAUUCAGUGAAUCAUCGAGUCUUUGAACGCACAUUGCGCCCCCUGGUAUUCCGGGGGGCAUGCCUGUCCGAGCGUCAUUGCUGCCCUCAAGCACGGCUUGUGUGUUGGGCCCCCGUCCCCCUCUCCCGGGGGACGGGCCCGAAAGGCAGCGGCGGCACCGCGUCCGGUCCUCGAGCGUAUGGGGCUUUGUGCACCUGCUCUGUAGGCCCGGCCGGCGCCAGCCGACACCCAACUUUAUUUUUCUAAGGUUGACCUCGGAUCAGGUAGGGAUACCCGCUGAACUUAAGCAUAUCAAUAAGCCCGGAGGAA